rnacentral:rRNA from 1 species
UACAGAGGUCUCAAGCGUUGUUCGGAUUCAUUGGGCGUAAAGGGUGCGUAGGCGGCGCGGUAAGUCGGAUGUGAAAUCUCGGAGCUUAACUUCGAAACUGCAUUCGAUACUGCCGUGCUUGAGGACUGGAGAGGAGACUGGAAUUUACGGUGUAGCGGUGAAAUGCGUAGAUAUCAGGAGGAACACCGGUGGCGAAGGCGGGUCUCUGGGCCGUAACUGACGCUGAGGAGCGAAAGCGUGGGGAGCGAACAGG